rnacentral:tRNA from 1 species
AGGGGAGUAGCUCAAUCUGGAUAGAGCAUCGGUCUACGAAACCGAAGGUUGUGGGUUCGAAUCCCGCCUCUCCUGCCA